GUUAUCUUAAUGGUUCAUUUUUUGCAAAACUGUCAUAUUUAGACGCUGAGACUCCCCUAUGUUUCAUCAGUCAGCAAUACUCGUCCGGAGUCUAUAAGCGCCUCAGCGCGGCAUAAUAUAUACAGAUAAAACAUUUAUUAUCAUUUCACACUGGAACAUGUCUGUUACAUUUUCAGCUGUGCGUCCGAGGGGGAAAGGAGAGAUCACACAACAAACCAUACAGAGGAUGCUGGAUGAAAAUCAUCAUCUGAUACAGUGCAUUAUGGACUAUCAGAGCAAAGGAAAAACAUCUGAAUGUACACAGUAUCAGCAGAUAUUGCACAGAAACUUGGUCUACCUAGCAACAAUAGCAGACUCUAAUCAGAAUAUGCAGUCUCUGUUACCAGCGGUAUGUUAUGACUGGAAGCUUUAACAG